UUGAUGAUAUUUUGCAGAAUGAAGAUAAUGUUUAGGCUUUUCACUCUUUUGUGUUUUGUUGAUUAUCCAUUAGAAGAUUCAAGAACUAUUGGAUGCUUCUUGGGAUACUUUUGAGAUGCACAGUUGAUUUUCUUGGGUUGUUUUACACGAUACAACUUGGUUGGUUGGUGGUAACAAAGUACCGGAAGAAAGACACACUGUUAAAGUGAAAUUGAAGAUGGCUCAGAAUGGAAGAAUUUUAAAAUUGUAUAUAUCCUUUCUAAUGCCUAUCUAAAUCACUGAAUGUUGAUAUUGGUUGUCAUUUGUUGAUUUUAGAAGUGUUUAUGAAUUUUGAUAUUGGUACUUUUCUUUAUAAAGGAAGUGAGUGAUUGAUUGAUUGAUAAAAUAGCAAGAAAUUUUAGUCAAAUAGAGUAGGUGAGUCAAUUUCUGCACGAGAGUCGAAAAAAAUAGGUGUAAUGUACUUAGGUAGCUUGUGGCUGACUCAUUUGUCUUUUGAUUUUUGAACUAUAAUCUUGUAUUUUUUUUCUCUUUUCGAAUUACAUUAUCAUUAGAGUGUUAACAUUAUUAAUUUUAGUCCAUAUAAUAAUACUAUUAGUAAUUUAGUAUGCAUAAUAGACUAUGGUUUAAAAUAAUACCGUUUCCAGUGGUAAAUCUUCUUUAUUUAUUUCCUUCUAUGUGGAUUGAAUUUUUUGUAUUUAGAAAGAGAGUUUUAAUUUUUUUAAAUAGAAAAUAAGAGUUUUUUUUUUUAAUGUAAAAAUUGGGCAAAAUUAGAUAGUUUGUGAUGUAUUCAAAAUAACUUAUUAUCAUAAGCUUUUAGAACCACUUUUAGGGAAAUUACUUUUUUUUUCUUGAAGCAAUUUUUAAGUUUUAACAAAAACAUGUAAUUGCAGAUUUUAGGUAUUAAGGGUUAGGUUUGAAUGUUUGGAGUAGUUUCAUGCAAAAGGUGUGUGUUUAGGUUAAUUUAUUUGUGCUCAGUCAAAAAUUUCUUGAGACAUUUAUUGAAGAAAAAAUAUGUGUAUUUAUUCCCUAAAAUUAUGUUAAGCAGAGUUGCUCUAUAUGAAAGUGUGACUACAACAUUUCAAAUACAUUUUGAAACGAGCGAUUAUAACAUUUGAAGUUAUUUAGUUAUGUGAAUAUUCUAACUCUGAAAAAUUCCUAAUGCUUUCAUCCUUAAUCCGAUUGCUAUUACAUGAAGUUGAUCUGUUUGAAAGAUACAUUUAUAUUUAAAAAAAACUAAAUAUACUGUUAAUGAUUAUCUUUAAUUUUAAAGACCUAUAUAUGUCCAAAGUUAUCUUCUAUGUUUUUUAUGUGACAUUUUUAUAAACAUUUGUGGUGCAAGAGUUUAAAUAUCCUACAAAGUAUAUUCCAUCACAUCAUCUAUAUUUUUCAGAGUGAAUCUUCACUUCAAUUGUGAUAUCAUAUGAUCAACGAAGGAGUUAGAAGGUAACAAUAUCUAGGUGCAAAGUUAGAAGUUAACAAUAUCUUUAUAUGCUUUUUGAAAUUUUCUUUCUUUUAUGUUCACUAUGAUUAACUAUAAGUUGAUUUUGAUUUUUUAUCUAAUGCUUUGAGUUGUUGCGUAAUAUUCUUCAAUGCGAUAUCUUUUGCUCCAUAUAUUUUAUGGGGCUAAUACUACUCUUUAUUAUAGACAUUUUUGUUUGACAUAUAUUAUGUUAUAAUAGAAUUAAUCUCAUUUAAAAGAUUCAUAUAAUUGCAACAUUAAGACUUCGUUCUGUAUCAUGUUGAUCCUCUGUGAUUCUAGAAUUUUUUAAUGCUAUGAGAUAUGUUUGUAUAAUCCUUUGUACCCCUUUGUUUGGGUCCAUAUGCGAGUUUUGCAGGGAAAGAAAGAAGAAAAAAGGAGAACAAUAUUCAUGAUUAAUUUGGUGGUACUGUGUAAUAAUAUACGAACUAUGCGCCUUCAUUUUUUAUUAUUUCAUAAACAAUUCUAAUUACUUUUCAAUUAUUUUGGUUAAUCAGUACUUUUUAUUUUUAUAUCAUUCCUAAGUGAUUUUGUUC